UACGAAGGGGGCUAGCGUUGCUCGGAAUCACUGGGCGUAAAGGGUGCGUAGGCGGGGCUUUAAGUCAGGGGGGAAAUCCUGGAGCUCAACUCCAGAACUGCCUUUGAUACUGAAGAUCUUGAGUUCGGGAGAGGUGAGUGGAACUGCGAGUGUAGAGGUGAAAUUCGUAGAUAUUCGCAAGAACACCAGUGGCGAAGGCGGCUCACUAAAUUGUAACUGACGCUGAGGCACGAAAGCGUGGGGAUCAAACAGG
rnacentral:rRNA from 1 species